rnacentral:rRNA from 1 species
UAAAAACCCCGACUUCGGAAGGGGUGUAUUUAUUAGAUACAAAACCAAUGCCCUUCGGGGCUCUUUGGUGAUUCAUGAUAACUAUACGAAUCGCACGGCCUUGCGCCGGCGAUGGUUCAUUCAAAUUUCUUCCCUAUCAACUUUCGAUGUUUGGGUAUUGGCCAAACAUGGUUGCAACGGGUAACGGAGGGUUAGGGCUCGACCCCGGAGAAGGGGCCUGAGAAACGGCUACUACAUCCAAGGAAGGCAGCAGGCGCGCAAAUUACCCAAUCCCGACUCGGGGAGGUAGUGACAAUAAAUACUGAUACAGGGCCCUUUCGGGCCUUGUAAUUGGAAUGAGUACAAUUUAAAUCCCUUAACGAGGAACAAUUGGAGGGCAAGUCUGGUGCCAGCAGCCGCGGUAAUUCCAGCUCCAAUAGCGUAUAUUAAAGUUGUUGUGGUUAAAAAGCUCGUAGUUGAACCUUGGGCCUGGCUGGCCGGUCCGCCUCACCGCGUGCACUGGUCCGGCCGGGCCUUUCCCUCUGUGGAACCCCAUACCCUUCACUGGGCGUGGCGGGGAAACAGGACAUUUACUUU